rnacentral:rRNA from 1 species
AGUGAACGCUGGCGGUAGGCCUAACACAUGCAAGUCGAACGGCAGCACAGUAAGAGCUUGCUCUUACGGGUGGCGAGUGGCGGACGGGUGAGGAAUACAUCGGAAUCUACUUUUUCGUGGGGGAUAACGUAGGGAAACUUACGCUAAUACCGCAUACGACCUACGGGUGAAAGCAGGGGAUCUUCGGACCUUGCGCGAUUGAAUGAGCCGAUGUUGGAUUAGCUAGUUGGCGGGGUAAAGGCCCACCAAGGCGACGAUCCGUAGCUGGUCUGAGAGGAUGAUCAGCCACACUGGAACUGAGACACGGUCCAGACUCCUACGGGAGGCAGCAGUGUGGAAUAUUGGACAGUGGGCGCAAGCCUGAUCCAGCCAUACCGCGUGGGUGAAGAGGGCCUUCGGGUUGUAAAGCCCUUUUGUUGGGAAAGAAAAGCAGCAGGUUAAUACCCCGCUGUUCUGACGGUACCCAAAGAAUAAGCACCGGCUAACUUCGUG